GGGGAUGCAAGGCCUCGACAGCCGGACUUUUUCUAAAUAUUCAAAACGCGCUUAGUUACUCGCGCUAAACUGACUAAAAAACAUAAUUGCCAAAACGGCAAGAGCAUUCACUUGGGCUUGCCCGAGCUAUGCUCCAGUUAUGGCCUAAUUAAUAAAGCCAUAGCCAUCGGAAACGGCCAGUCUUCAUAACCGUUUUCCGGUGUCAUUAACAUGAAGAUAGAUACUAUCCGCUCUUUCCGGAAAGAUAUCGAAACAACAGAAAGAUCGUUCCAAUCGCUUUUGUUCGGUUUCUGAUGAUUGGGAUUAAACAACAAAAUCGAUCUAUUUUUGUAAAUGUAUUUAGGUAAACCGACUGGACAUGGGUUCAACUCCCAUCAUCUCCACAU
rnacentral:tmRNA from 1 species